ensembl:snRNA U6 U6 spliceosomal RNA
GAGUUCAAGCCCCACAACUGACAAAAAAAAAAAAAAAAAGAUUAGCAUGGCCCCUGCACAAGGAUGACACGCAAAUUCGUGAAGCGUUCCAUAUUUUU